ACGGGUGAGUAACGCGUGGGAACGUACCUUUUGGUUCGGAACAACUGAGGGAAACUUCAGCUAAUACCGGAUAAGCCCUUACGGGGAAAGAUUUAUCGCCGAAAGAUCGGCCCGCGUCUGAUUAGCUAGUUGGUGAGGUAAUGGCUCACCAAGGCGACGAUCAGUAGCUGGUCUGAGAGGAUGAUCAGCCACAUUGGGACUGAGACACGGCCCAAACUCCUACGGGAGGCAGCAGUGGGGAAUAUUGGACAAUGGGCGAAAGCCUGAUCCAGCCAUGCCGCGUGAGUGAUGAAGGCCCUAGGGUUGUAAAGCUCUUUUGUGCGGGAAGAUAAUGACGGUACCGCAAGAAUAAGCCCCGGCUAACUUCGUGCCAGCAGCCGCGGUAAUACGAAGGGGGCCAGCGUUACUCGGAAUCACUGGGCGUAAAGGGUGCGUAGGCGGGUUCUUAAGUCAGAGGUGAAAUCCUGGAGCUCAACUCCAGAACUGCCUUUGAUACUGAGAGUCUUGAGUAUGACAGAGGUGAGUGGAACUGCGAGUGUAGAGGUGAAAUUCGUAGA
rnacentral:rRNA from 1 species